UACGAAGGGGGCUAGCGUUGUUCGGAAUCACUGGGCGUAAAGCGCACGUAGGCGGAUUGUUAAGUCAGGGGUGAAAUGCCAAGGCUCAACCUUGGAACUGCCUUUGAUACUGGCAAUCUCGAGUCCGGGAGAGGUGAGUGGAACUGCGAGUGUAGAGGUGAAAUUCGUAGAUAUUCGCAAGAACACCAGUGGCGAAGGCGGCUCACUGGCCCGGUACUGACGCUGAGGUGCGAAAGCGUGGGGAGCAACAGGAUAGAUAUCCCGGUACGUCCC
rnacentral:rRNA from 1 species